UAUCUCUGGUUUCUCUUAAGUCAUGCAUAAAUCUUUCGCCUUUUGCUAAAGAUUUCCGUGGAGAGGAUCGUCCAUGAGUUUGAUGUAUUUUUGUGAGCUUUGCUCUGGCAAAGCU